rfam:Dufourea novaeangliae contig1741, whole genome shotgun sequence.
AAGAUCAUACUUCACAGGAUCAUUUCUGUAGUAUAUCUUUCAUUCUCUGUAAGCAAUUACAGAGUUGAUGCAACCACGAUGAGGAGUAACAGCUCCUUUCCCUGAGCGUGAGGAAGACUCGGGGAGUUGACUUUAGUUCAACUCCCCAGUCAUCGAUGAUCGUUCACUCCUUGCACUCAGUGCGAGGAGCAUGGGAAGUGGAGCUUUCUGAGUGGU